GCCAAUGUGGCAUAGUGGUUUGAGUGUUGGACUAAAACUCUAAGACCAGCAUUCAAUUCCCAGCUUGGCCA
rnacentral:tRNA from 1 species